UCGUAGCAAACUAAGAAUACUAGGUAUUGCUUUCCGUUAACCAGUGAGACAAUGGGGGAUAAGCUCCAUCGUCAAAAGGGAAACAGCCCAGAUCACCAGCUAAGGCCCCAAAAUGACCGCUAAGUGGCAAAGGAGGUAGGAAUGCUGAAACAACCAGGAGGUUUGCCUAGCAGCAGCCAUCCUUUAAAGAGUGCGUAAUAGCUCACUGGUAGAGCGUUCUUGCGCCGAAAAUGAACGGGACUAAGCGGUCUGCCGAAGCUGUGGGUAAAAUUUAUUAAAAGGUAGAAAAUCUUUCAAUCUUUUUUUUAUUUUACGGUAGGGGAGCGUUCCGCUCUAGGGUGAAGCUCCAACGUAAGUUGGUGUGGACAAAGCGGAAGUGAGAAUGUCGGCUUGAGUAACGAAAACAUUGGUGAGAAUCCAAUGCCCCGAAAACCUAAGGCUUCCUCCACAAGGCUCGUCCAUGGGGGGUUAGUCGGGACCUAAGGCCAGGCCGAAAGGCGUAGUCGAUGGAAAACAGGUUAAUAUUCCUGUACUAAUUUGAUAGUGGUACCGAGGGACGAAGAAGGGAACAGUUGGUCAAUAUUGGAUGUUGACGGAAACGUUCAAGGUGAUGAAAGAUAGAAUAAAAACUCUUCUUGAGCUGAGGCGUAACACGGUUUUAUUACUUGAAUAAGGCUUUUAGAGUAUUUUACGAAAAUUUUUUGUUCAAAAUGAAACUCAACUAGUUGUCAUACUUCCUAGAAAAGCUCGAACUUCCAAGACUAAAAAAUUACCCGUACCCGAAACCGACACAGGUAGGUAGG
rnacentral:rRNA from 1 species